rnacentral:rRNA from 1 species
GUGUCAGCAGCCGCGGUAAGACGAAGGUGGCUAGCGUUAUUCGGAUUUACUGGGCAUAAAGCGCGCGUAGGCGGCUUGGCAAGUCGGAGGUGAAAGCCUGCAGCUCAACUGCGGUGUGCCUCCGAAACUGCCGAGCUUGAGUGCGGGAGGGGUGAUUGGAACUCCAGGUGUAGCGGUGAAAUGCGUAGAUAUCUGGAGGAACACCAGAGGCGAAGGCGAAUCACUGGACCGCAACUGACGCUGAGGCGCGAAAGCUAGGGGAGCAAACAGGAUUAGAAACCCCCGUAGUCC